rnacentral:rRNA from 1 species
CAAUAGCGUAUAUUUAAGUUGUUGCAGUUAAAAAGCUCGUAGUCGGAUUUUGGCUGAGAACGAUCGGUCCGCCGUUAGGUGUGCACUGAUUGGUCUCAGCUUCCUGGUGAGGAGGUGUGCUUCACGGCCUCUUAGUCACCGUGGUUACUUUGAAAAAAUUAGAGUGUUCAAAGCGGGCUUACGCUUGAAUAUAUUAGCAUGGAAUAACACCAUAGGACUCCUGUCCUAUUUCGUUGGUCUCGGGACGGGAGUAAUGAUUAAGAGGAACAGUUGGGGGCAUUCGUAUUUCAUUGUCAGAGGUGAAAUUCUUGGAUUUAUGAAAGACGAACUUCUGCGAAAGCAUUUGCCAAGGAUGUUUUCAUUGA